CUGUCCGUCAUGAAGACUGAACCCUCAGCCAUGGCCUUCAUCUCCGUACUCACCUGGACUCUUCUAGUUUGCCUCCAAGAAUGCAGAGGUCAGUUCACUGUGACUCAGACUCCUGCUACAUCAGCUGCUGGUCCAGGAGGGUCAGUUACUCUGAACUGCAAAACCAGCAGUGGAAUCGGCCACAGAACAUAUGCUGCAUGUGAGAGCUGCCUGUCCUGGUACCUGCAGAAGCCUGGAGAAGCUCCUAAACUCCUGAUUCACAGUAUUAGCACCCGUUACACAGGCACUGCAAACAGAUUCAGUGGAGGUGGAUCAAACUAUGGCUCUGACUUCACUCUGACCAUCAGUGGAGUCCAGGCUGAGGAUGCUGGACAUUACUACUGCAUGGGGGUGAUGUACAGUGGAACUACGCCAGUGUGGACUUUUGGAAGCGGCUCUAAACUUGAUGUUGGAGUUCCGACCCCUCCGGUGCUGACGGUGCUGCCCCCCUCCCGUGAGGAGGUGUCGGGGGGGCGCAGUGGCACGCUGGUGUGUGUGGCCAGGGGGGGCUUCCCGUCCGACUGGAGGCUGAGCUGGCAGCUGGAUGGGGGGGUUGAGGGCGGGGAGGGCAGUGCUGGGCUCCUGGGGAAGGACGGCCUGUACAGCUGGAGCAGCAGCCUGACUCUCAGCGCCCCCCGCUGGUCAAAGAUCAGCACUGUGCACUGUGAGGCCACACACAGCACCCAGGGGACCGUCACCAGCACCCUCACCAGAGACCAGUGCUCCAACUAGACCCUACACACACACACACGCACACACACACACACACACACACACACACUGUCUGGUAUUGUGUGCUGGUAGUUCAAUGUGCUCAUGUGUUUUCACUUAUUCAUGCUGCAAACAACAAUAAAUAAUGUUCUAAGGGUGAUAA